rnacentral:pre_miRNA from 1 species
GCUUCCCGGGCCCAGUGGUUCUCAUCAGUUCAACAGUUCUUUGGAGAAAUUGUGAAAUGUUUAGGACCACUGGGACCGGA